CAAAUCAUCUAAGUUUAGAGUUAUAAUGCUGUUUGAAUUCUUUGAAUUUGGCUACGGUUACUAGUUAAAGACAUAACCACAUGUAUUGCCUCAGUUUACUUACAAUUAUAAUAUAUACCUAUAAGUAUAAAUUGUCCUUCUCUUAAUUUUGUAUACUUUGUAGAAUUUAUGAAAAUUGCAUGAUCACUGUUCGUUAUCUUCUCUUUAUAUUAGCAGUAGAUUCUCUGUACCUGACUCAUCAGGAAUGCAUUAUUAGGUCACCUUAGUCACUCAGGUGAUCUUUUGCUAUUGAUCUGCCCGUUCGUUAUCGCCUUCUGUCGAUUGUAUAUCCAUUCGUUGAACACCCCUCUCAACAAAAUUUCACUCAUGGAGACAUCAUCAAUUCCGGUGAAGGGCUGCAAAAUUUAGGUCUAUGCUCGGCGCUUAUGGCCUUUGAGCAGGGAGGGAUUUUUAUCUUGCCACAAAACAUUCUUGGGAAAAGGGGAUUCAUGUUUGUUCAAAUGAUGCAGCGUGUCAACUUGAAAGGGGAAAUACAGUGAAACUUCUCCAAAUCGGCCCCUCAGAAAACCAUUUCUCCCUGAACAUCGCCCAAUUCUUAAAGUCUCUGUAGGAAUCUUAACAGAUCCUUUCAAAGAAAUUCAUAUAGUCCAAAGUGUGACUUUUCGAGAUUUCAGCCAUUUUUGACAACGGACUUCUGCGAUGAUCCUCAGUUAAAGGUUCAGAUUUAGCUCGGAUUAUUCUGUGCUCUUUAGUCAUUGGAGCCUGAAGUACGAGCCAGAGCACUGCGCUCACUAUUAAUAUGCAAGUAGUUGCAUUUAAUUCAAAUUGAAGUUGAACGCAAGGACCCCAGGGGUAGGGUGGGGGCACAAUAUGAAAUCAGAGUUUUAUAUGGUAAUUUGCAGAAAAUUUAUUAAAACAAAGACUUUUCAAGAGUAGCAGGGCCACACUAAAUCAUAUCCAAAUGCAAAUGUCCCCAAGUUGUGUGAAAACAAGGUUUUUUUAUGACCCUGACUAAGGAUGGGGUGGAAUUGUUUUUGUCCUGUCUGUCUGAAAUUUUAACCUUCCUCAUAACUUUUAAAUAAUGAGCAAUGGGGCUCUCAUAUUUGCAUUCUUUUUUAUAGCCAUAAAGUCUUUCACCUCGUGACCUUGACAUUAGAGUUUCAUCUACUGACCGGUUUAGCUUUCUGGACCUUAAAAGAUGUUGACACCCUGCUGAUGGAGCAGAUCCUAUUCCUUAGAAGCAGAAAGCAGUUCUCUUACCAUCAGAUCUGAUCCAUUUUUGGAGAUAGCCUUUUGUAUGGAGCUGGUGGUGACUGAAGUCUGGUCAGUCGGCAGGCAGCAGUACUCAAUUUACCGCAUUCCUACAAUCCAACUGAAAUUACGGGUAUUCAGAAUCAGCCUUCGAACAGUUGAUGAAGCCUGCCCUGGUAGAUGGAAUCUGCCGCUUGACCAGCAGCACUGUCCAGAGACAGUGGUUGAUGCUGGAUAUAUGACUUUUCCUCAGCCCAUCAUUACCUGCUGGAGUGCUGGUAGAGGCUGAACGCUUUAAUAAAUAUAACUGUGAUCUUGCUGAGAUGUAGUAAUCCAUGGGAAUUUUCCAAAGAAGAUUCAAGAGAACCAUAAAGUCUUUCACCUCGUGACCUUGACAUUAGAGUUUCAUCUACUGACCGGUUUAGCUUUCUGGACCUUAAAAGAUGUUGACACCCUGCUGAUGGAGCAGAUCCUAUUUCUUAGAAGCAGAAAGCAGUUCUCUUACCAUCAGAUCUGAUCCAUUUUUGGAGAUAGCCUUUUGUAUGGAGCUGGAUAGCGGUUACUGGAGACGUGCUGUUGAUUGAUGAGGAUAAUUUUCCCGAGACUCUGACAUAUUGCAGGACCUGGAUAGCUCUACUGGUGUUCAAAAUGCCAGGACUGUGGAGUGUUGUGAUGUUAUUGAUGGUCAACAGAAGACUGACCUUGAAUCUGAAGAUCUGUGAUGAAGACUGGACGUUUGGGGUCACUCUCUGUUACAGUACUACAAAUCUAACAGUGAGACACUCAGCCACAAAGAGGUUGUCUCUGAUGUCCACACAUAAACCCCAUGGACCGCGUAAAUGACAGUGAAUGUAACGGAGGAACUGUCCGUCCUGAUCUAGGAUGUGGAUACGGUGAUUGUCAGUGUCUGCUGUCAGGAUGUGACUCUGGCUGUCUGUAGUGAUGCCGACUGGACUAAAUGAUUGCUCGGUAUUAGAGGGAUGACCAGUGUAUCUAAAUCGGAGUUUUCCUGACUGAUUGACCACCACUACUGCACUAUCUGACAGGUCAGCCACACAAAUAUCCAGGUUCCUGUUCUCACUGAGGUAUUUACUAGUGUAAUAACCAGAUGAGUAGAGAGGACGACCCUGAUCAUCAAACUGAAUGCUUUGUUUCUCUGUGGAGCCGGAGUAACGCACGACUUUGGAUUGUGUUUCAUCAUCACUGACCAUGGUAACCAGGAGAUCAUCAGAGGCAGUACUGCAGACAUAGCGAGGGUACCACCCCUGUAGUGUGAUCACGAUUGAGUUGUGUGGAACAAUGAACAUCCGGAUAUCUAUGUACAUUUACACGUGUAGGAUUAAACUUCUGUUGUACUCGCGCAUGUGAGUUUAUCCUGUA